rnacentral:tRNA from 3 species
GCCCCGUUCGUCUAGCGGCCUAGGACACCGCCCUCUCACGGCGGCAGCACCGGUUCAAAUCCGGUACGGGGUACCA